CCUACGGGUGGCAGCAGUGAGGAAUAUUGGUCAAUGGACGAGAGUCUGAACCAGCCAAGUAGCGUGAAGGAUGACUACCCUAUGGGUUGUAAACUUCUUUUAUAUGGGAAUAAAACGUUCCACGUGUGGGAUUUUGUAUGUACCAUAUGAAUAAGGAUCGGCUAACUCCGUGCCAGCAGCCGCGGUAAUACGGAGGAUCCGAGCGUUAUCCGGAUUUAUUGGGUUUAAAGGGAGCGUAGGUGGAUUGUUAAGUCAGUUGUGAAAGUUUGCGGCUCAACCGUAAAAUUGCAGUUGAAACUGGCAGUCUUGAGUACAGUAGAGGUGGGCGGAAUUCGUGGUGUAGCGGUGAAAUGCUUAGAUAUCACGAAGAACUCCGAUUGCGAAGGCAGUUCACUGGACUGCAACUGACACUGAGGCUCGAAAGUGUGGGUAUCAAACAGGAUUAGAUACCCCUGUAGUC
rnacentral:rRNA from 1 species